UACGGAGGGUGCGAGCGUUGUCCGGAAUUAUUGGGCGUAAAGAGCUCGUAGGCGGUCUGUCGCGUCUGCUGUGAAAACUCGGGGCUUAACCCCGGGCCUGCAGUGGGUACGGGCAGACUAGAGUGCGGUAGGGGAGACUGGAAUUCCUGGUGUAGCGGUGAAAUGCGCAGAUAUCAGGAGGAACACCGGUGGCGAAGGCGGGUCUCUGGGCCGUAACUGACGCUGAGGAGCGAAAGCAUGGGGAGCGAACAGG
rnacentral:rRNA from 1 species